ACGCUUGGCAGCAAUGGCCGAAAUUAACAUUGGAAAGUCCCGUAGACUUUCGAAAUCGGCUCGUACAUGACAAUUAGAGUGUUUAAUGUGGAAGGUUUUGGUGUUUGACACUGGGAAGCCUAUCUAAAUCCGCUUUUUACAAGGGCAAACUUAAUGUUUUGUUAUAUACUGAAUAUCAAUUAUUUUAUAGAUACAUGUAUUAUGUAUACCUAAAACAUCUAUAAAAGAAAUAGUAAAUGCAUUUGCAU
rnacentral:sRNA from 1 species